rnacentral:rRNA from 1 species
AUGGCAGGCUCCGGCGCCAGCGACGACGAGGUCGUCCUGGAGAUCGAGCACUGCAUCCGCGUAUUCAAGAGCGGCCGCGUGGAGCGCUACUUCGGCUCCGACCCCGUCCCGGCCUCUACCGACGCCGGCACCGGCGUCGCCUCGAAAGACCGCACAAUCUCCCCCGACGUGGCCGUCCGCCUCUACCUCCCGCCCCUCGCCACGGAGGGCGUCGAUGGGAAGAAGCUACCCGUCCUCGUCUACUUCCACGGCGGCGGUUUCGUCCUCCACACCGCCUUCAACGCCGUCUUCCACGCGUACCUCUCCUCCCUCGCCGCGCGCGCCCGGGCCAUCGUCGUCUCCGUCGACUACCGCCUCGCGCCCGAGCACCCCCUCCCCGCCGCCUACGACGACUCCUGGCAAGCCCUACGCUGGGUGGCGUCCCACGCCCCCGGCGGCGCCGGCGAGGAGCCCUGGCUCGCCGACCACGGCGACUUCUCCCGCCUGUCCCUCGGCGGCGAGAGCGCGGGCGCCAACAUCGCGCACCACCUGGCGAUGCGCGCCGGCGCCGAGGGCCUGCCCCGCGGCGCGACCAUCAGCGGCGGCAUCGUGCUGGUCCACCCCUACUUCCUGGGCCACGGCAAGGUGCCCUCCGAGGACAGCGACCCCGUGAUGGCCGAGAACGUGGUGAAGAUGUGGCGCGUGGUGUGCCCCCAGACCACGGGCGUCGACGACCCGUGGAUCAACCCGCUGGCCGCCGGCGCGCCGACGAUGCGCGGGCUGGCGUGCCGGCGCGCGCUCGUGUGCCUCGCGGAGACGGACGUGGUCCGCGACCGCGGCCGCGCGUACUGCGAUGGGCUCAAGGCGAGCGGGUGGGCUGGGGAGGUGGAGCUGCUCGAGGUGGCCGGGCAGGGCCACUGCUUCCAUCUCGUCGACUUCACCUGCGACGAUGCCGUCAGGCAGGACGACGCCAUUGCCAGGUUCCUGAAUCUGUAG